rnacentral:rRNA from 1 species
AUUGAACGCUGGCGGCAGGCUUAACACAUGCAAGUCGAGCGGAGAUGAGGUGCUUGCACCUUAUCUUAGCGGCGGACGGGUGAGUAAUGCUUAGGAAUCUGCCUAUUAGUGGGGGACAACAUUCCGAAAGGAAUGCUAAUACCGCAUACGUCCUACGGGAGAAAGCAGGGGAUCUUCGGACCUUGCGCUAAUAGAUGAGCCUAAGUCGGAUUAGCUAGUUGGUGGGGUAAAGGCCUACCAAGGCGACGAUCUGUAGCGGGUCUGAGAGGAUGAUCCGCCAAACUGGGACUGAAAGACGGCCCAGACUCCGACGGGAGGCGGCAGUGGGGAAUAUUGGACAAUGGGGGGAACCAUGAUCCAGCCAUGCCGCGUGUGUGAAGAAGGCCUUAUGGUUGUAAAGCACUUUAAGCGAGGAGGAGGCUACUGAGACUAAUACUCUUGGAUAGUGGACGUUACUCGCAGAAUAAGCACCGGCUAACUCUGUGCCAGCCGCCGCCGUAA